UUCUGUUUAUUGAAUUUCAGCAGGCUUAGGACUUUUGAAAAUCUUCUCACAACUUUUUCAAUGUUUUUGUGCAAAGUCAAUGUGAAUUAUGUCAAAGGAAGAAUAAUGAUGAAAUAAAUCAACCAAACUUUCACAAAUCGCAGAUGAUGGGCCAUGGCAGGAAGAAACAGACGUGGAAUUGGAUAGUUCAAAUUUCUUUGUUGAAAUAAUGUAGAAGCCGAAGAUUGGGUCUAUGAACGAAGUUAUAUCUAAAGUUUAAAUUAUAUUAUAUAAAACAUUUACUGCUCAUGAAGUUAAGUUGUAUAAGGUACAUUGAUGCUUUCAAAUAAUAUCAAACUUAAUCUUUAUCUACUGCAAAAAGGUGUUACGGAGAAACGCAGAUAAUGUAUUAAAUAAAUAAUUUUAAACAUGAA